UACAGAGGUCUCAAGCGUUGUUCGGAUUCAUUGGGCGUAAAGGGUGCGUAGGUGGCGCCGUAAGUCAGGUGUGAAAUUUCGGAGCUUAACUCCGAAACUGCAUUUGAUACUGCGGUGCUUGAUGACUGGAGAGGAGACUGGAAUUUACGGUGUAGCAGUGAAAUGCGUAGAGAUCGUAAGGAAGACCAGUGGCGAAGGCGGGUCUCUGGACAGUUCCUGACGCUGAGGCACGAAGGUCAGGGGAGCAAACGGG
rnacentral:rRNA from 1 species